UUCGUUUCUGCUGCACCACAACGGGAACUCCUAGACUGAUUUUGUGACUUUGGCCAAGUCACUUCCCCUCUCUGUCCUGCAGGCUCUUUAUCUGCAUGACUGGAUGACUAUCUUCCUGGCAGGGCUGCUGUGAGGCCCAGGGCCAAGGUCAAAAGUCAUGUGGAAUGCAAAAGGCACUCAGCAAGGGCCAGUUUCCCUCUUCCCGGGGACCUGCCAGAGAGUCAAGGUACAGAUCGCUGGUUUUCAAAGAAAUGGCGAAAAGAAAAGACUGAGAAUUCUAGAGGAAAUGGCUGUGAAACACCUGGCACCAGCCCCAGCACCUCAUAGGCCCUCAAGAUGUGACAACUCUUCGUGUUAUGAUGCCAAUUAGAACCCUACUCUUAUCUAGUCUUUGGGGGCAGACUCUGAAGCUUCUCUGGGGUGACUCGGAGGAAAGCAAGUCUCUCUGGCCUGGUCCAAAGGGACUUAGUGAAGGACAUCCUGCAAGGACCUUGUUAGCAGGGGAGCCUUGUCCCCAGGGGCCCUGCAGUGAGCUCUGUUCCCCCUCCCCCUGCCCCUGCCCUGGGGACAUUGUCCUGUCUCCCUGCCCCACCCAGGGGCAUGUGCAGCCUGUUUUUACAGCUUUUUAUUGAGCUGAGCUGUGAGAAAAUGCCAGCUUGAUCCAUUUUUCUUUCUUGUUCUUGAGACACAUAUGGGCAAAAACGCUGGCUCAGCAGAUUGCUUCAAGUUCAGCAUCUCAUCAUUUAAAAGACCCUCUCUCUUCAAACAUAAUGUUAAUAAAAAUAACAACAAUAACAGUUACCAUGGAUGCCAAGUUCACUCUGGGAAGGCAUGGACAUGCACUAUUCUAUACAUCUCACCAGGGCCCUGCGACAGCUCGUAUUUUCUCUAAUUUCUGAUGUGACCCUUAAGUCCAAGUUUACAGGGCUCGGAGCGACAGGACUGGAAAGGCAAUCCAGGUUUUCAGUCUUCUAAACUCACACCUCCGCCUUCGAUUUAUCUGUUUGUUUGUCAUUUCUUUGCUGAUACUUUCUCCCUUCAAAAAAGAUGUGAGGCAAUGAGUGGCAAUACAAUCGGUGAAGAAGAACAAGAGCAACCAAGGAAAUCAGAGCCAGGACAACCUGAGACCGGAAAUAAGAUGUUUCUGCAAUGGCUUGGUGCCGUGUUCUAGAGACAGCAGAUUAGUCAAGUGUGGUCAUCAUGGCUUCAGUGGUUUCUGUCUGCUUGUUCUACCAACAACUGAAACAUCUGGGUUAAGAUCCUCCACUGUGAUUUCGGAUUUGUCCCUUUCCCUUUUUGGUCUUACCAGUUUUUGCUUGUUUUUGAAAUCCUGUUACAAGGUGAAUGCACACUUAAAAUUAUUGUGUUUCUCGUGGAAUGAUGUAUUUUAUCAUCAUGACAAGGAAUCUCUGGUAAUGGUUCCUCCUGUGACGUCUCCAUGGCUGAUACCAUAGUUUAGCCACAUUUGGAUGGCUUGCGUUUUUUUUUUUUUUUUCAUUUUUAUGCAAUCAGCUUUUCUGGGUCCUUAUAUUUAAGUUGUGUGUCUUGUAAGCAGCAUAUAUUUGGUGUUGCUAUUGUUUUAACCCUAGCUUGACAAUCAUCGUCUUUUUUUUUCCCUCCAGUUUUAUGGAGAUAAAAUUGACAUACAGCAUUGCCUAGGUUUAAGGGGAGGAGCCUAAUGAUCUGACUUAUAUUGUGAAAUGAUUACCACAGAAGAUUUACUGAACAACCAUUAUUUCAUAUAAAUACAAAAAGAAAAAAAAAGAACAAAUAUUUUUUCUUGUGAUGAGAACUCAGGGUUUAUUCUCUUAACUUCUUAAUAACAUACAGCCGUAAAAAUUAUAUUAAUCAUACUAUGCAUUACAUUUCUAGUAUUUAUUUAUCUUGCAACUAGAGGCUUGUACUUUUUGACUACUUGCAUCCAAUUCUCCUUCCCUCACCUUCCAUAAUCUUUUAAAUGCAAUAUUUAGUUCAUUCAUCUUUAAUGUGAUUACUCAUAUACUUAUACAUAGAUGUGCCAUCAUAUUAUUUAUUCUCCACUUUUCCUAUCUGUUCUAUGGCCUUCUAGCUUGACUUUUUCAACUUCUUUUUGAUUAGUCUUUUAUUAUUAAUUAAAUAAUAUUAUUAAAUAAUAACAUUAUUAUUACUAUUUUGUCAGUGUCUGUUAUUUUGUCAGUGUGCAUUCUUGUACUAUUUUUUGAGGAGUGGGUCUUAGCAAUUACAGUAAAUAUCUUUGUCUUAAUUAAAGCCUAAUAUAAGUUAGUGCUUUUACCAUUUGUGGACAAUAAAAUGAAAAUCUUUUAAUUUCAUUUAAAUGAAGUCUAAUUUUACCUUUUUGAAUUUACCUUAUUAUUGUCAAAUAUUUUGAUUAUACAUAUAUUUUAAACUCUAUAAGACAUCAUUGUUAUUAUUAUUUUAUACAAACUUCUUCUAGAUUUACCUAUGUAUUUAUCCCUUCCCAUUGCUUGUCUAUCCUUCCUGCAUUUCUGUGCAUUUUCCUGGGAUGAUAUUUCUCUUCCUUGCAAAAGCUUUUUUACUUUUUUUUUUUUUAAGUGCAAGUCUUCUGACAGCAAAUUCUCUGUUGUUAUUUAUCUGGCAAUGUCUUUAGUCAUUAUUUUUAAGGAUAUUUUCAAUGGGUAUAAGCUUAUAAUAAUUUUCUUCCAGUUAAUAUGUUAAUCCCAUUAUGGAUGUGUCCUCAAUAUGUUAGUCCAUUGUCUUCUGGUUUACACCAUUUCAGUUUCAUUUUGCUUUUUGAUGGGAAAGUGUCAUUUAACCUGCCUAAUUUUAUAAUCUCAUCUUUAGUUUUCAUCAGUUUUAUUGUGAUGUACCAAGGGUUUUCCUUGUAUUUAUCUUGCUUGAGAUUCUGGUGAUUCUUGAAUCUGUGGUUUGACAUUUUCAUCAGCAUUUAAAAAUAUUCAGUCCUUAUCUCCUUAAAGAUUACUCUGUCUCGUUCUUUCUCCUACCUUUGUAAGACUCCAAUUACAGGUAGGUUAGACAUUUUCACCAUUUUCUUUUCUUUUCUUUUUUUUAAAUGAGAGUUGCAAUGUUUAUUUCAGGUUUUUUCUCUCUCUUUUCCUUUUAUUUUACUGGCAGCAUGUGGAAGUUCCUUGGCCAGGAGUCCAACCUGUGCCACACAGCAGCAACCAGAGCCAUAGCAGUGAAAACACAGGGGCCUUAACCCAUCAGACUAUUAGCGAACUCCCCUUUUCACUAUUUUCAUAGGUAUAAGUUCUUUUUCUGUAUUCCAUUCUUCUAAGCUUUAUGAUUCAACCUGAUAUUUUUUAUUAACCCAUCUUUCAAGUCACUAUACAUUUCUUCAGCUGUGUCUAAUCUGGUGUUAAAACCAUCACUGAUUCUUAAUUUCAAUUAGUGUAUUUUUAAAUUCUAGAUUUUUUUCACUUGGCCCUCUUUCAAAGAUUCUAGUUCUCUGGUGAAUAUUUUCACAUUGUCAUUUACUUUCUUGAAUAUAUUAAUAUCAGUUUUUAAAGACCCCAUCUGGUAAUUCCCAUGUCUGGAUCACCUGUGGGUCUGUUUCUAGUACAUAUUUGUUCUCAUGGUCCUGUUAUUGGUGUGCUCAACAAAUUUUGAUUGAAUAGUAGAAAUAUUGUAUUGAAAAUCAUAGAGGCUGAAGAUGAGGUUAUUUUCCUCCAGAGAGGAUUUUCUUUAGCUUGUGGAAAGUCAUUAGGUAAUUCACUUUAAUGUAAUCAGAGAUCAAGCUAAUUCAAGGCUGAUUUUUAAUUUUUUACCAAGAUUACAGACUGGCCUAUUUCUAGUUCACUUUUAUUCCUAGGGUGUAGAUUGCUAUGAAUUCCAUCUGAAAGCCAAUGCGAAUUAGCUCAGGAAAAAAAUGUAGGUUAUAUCAGAUGAGCAUUAUUACUAUAGGAAGAUAGGAGUGCAUCUGAUCCUCAGGAACCACAGGAACCAGGGAGUUGAACUCUUGCUUCUCCACCUGACAUGUCUCUUUCCCCUGCUUUCUGUCUUUAGUCUCUCAGGUAGAGUGUGGCUGGGAACAUGGUUACCAGCAACUCCUAGGAGUGCAUUUCCAAGAUUUUCUACCACAGAAAGGCUAAGACUUGCUUUUUCUAAUCUCCAGGUCAAAAAUCUCAUGAAAGAGCUUGACUGGUUCAGUUUGGGUCAAUCAGUAUAGCCAGGUGGGAAGACUCCUGGGGAACACAGCCUGCUCUUCUAGACCUACAAGGCCAUGUGGAGAAAGAAAUAUUUCUCAAAAGAAUGAAGGGGGAUGAUUGGGCACAAAACUAUCGAUGUCUAGAGCAACUAUAGAUGUCUAGGCACCAUUUGAUAUUUCCCAGCUAGAUGUACUUCCCUGGAGGUGAAGUAAAAUGAAUUCCCUCUAGUUAAUACACUAUGAGUAUUGAAGGGUUUUCCCAGACUCCUAGCAAAAAGAAACUUCCCUGCAAUAUCUCUUGUGAUAACAACGGUAUUAAUAACUGCUAUCUAGAAGCAGCCCAACCCUGGGUCAGGAGAGCCAUUUACACAAAUCUCACAUGAACUUCUCUCAUCUUCUUGCAAAGAAGGUGUAACUAUUUCAAUUUUCCAAGAAGACCCAGAUUUAGAGGGACUUGAAGCUUAUAAAAUUACAACUAAAAAUUAGAUACAAAAAUGACGAUUUAUAUAGUGAAAGAAAAGCAACAACACGUCUUUUUAAGAGCUGACAGAUACCACAAAGAUCACGAAAGUUAGAAAUUUUACUUUACAUUUUUAA